rnacentral:rRNA from 1 species
CCUACGGGAGGCAGCAGUAAGGAGUAUUGCGCAAUGGGCGAAAGCCUGACGCAGCGACGCCGCGUGGGGGAUGAAGGUCUUCGGAUUGUAAACCCCUUUCGGGAGGGAAGAUGGAAUGGAGUAACCCAUUCGGACGGUACCUCCAGAAGCAGCCACGGCUAACUUCGUGCCAGCAGCCGCGGUAAUACGAAGGUGGCAAGCGUUAUUCGGAUUUACUGGGCGUACAGGGAGCGUAGGCGGUUCGGUAAGCCCUUUGUGAAAUCUCCAGGCUUAACCUGGAAAAGUCGGAGGGGACUGCCGGGCUAGAGGACGGGAGAGGAGCGCGGAGUUCCCGGUGUAGCGGUGAAAUGCGUAGAGAUCGGGAGGAAGGCCGGUGGCGAAGGCGGCGCUCUGGAACGUUUCUGACGCUGAGGCUCGAAAGCGUGGGGAGCAAACAGGAUUAGAUACCCUAGUAGUCCACGCCUUAAACUAUGAAUACUAAGUGUCGGCGGGUUACCGCCGGUGCCGCAGCUAACGCAUUAAGUAUUCCGCCUGGGAAGUACGGCCGCAAGGUUGAAACUCAAAGGAAUUGACGG